rnacentral:rRNA from 1 species
UACCCUUUGGCCUGGAAUAACACGAGGAAACUUGUGCUAAUACCGGAUAAGUCUUUACGGAGAAAGCUUUAUGCACCAUUGGAUGAGCCCGCACUUGAUUAGUUUGUUGGUAGGGUAAUGGCCUACCAAGACUAUGAUCAAUAGCUGAUUUGAGAGGAUGAUCAGCCACAUUGGGACUGAGACACGGCCCAAACUCCUACGGGAGGCAGCAGUGGGGAAUCUUGCACAAUGGAGGAAACUCUGAUGCAGCGAUGCCGCGUGAGUGAAGAAGGCCUUUGGGUUGUAAAGCUCUUUCGUCGGGGAAGAAAAUGACUGUACCCGAAUAAGAAGGUCCG